GUUGGCUGGUUCGCGAUAGCUGAUGGCGAUGUCCGAUAACCAACCACGCUUCUCGUCACGCACGGGUCUCACGUAACUUGACGAUAUGGAACUCGAUCCUUUAAGACGAGAGAAGGAUCGCGAUUGCCAGGAAUCCAAGGAUAAUUUUCCAGGUAGAGAUUGACUUACGAUUCUACGGAUGUGCUAUUAAAAUUCGCUAUCACAAUUAAUCUCGGAUGAGACUAAAAUUCACCGCCAGUAUUACGAGUGUCGUUGUGUCUCUGUUUACCUGCAUGCAACUCAGCGAGACGCAACCAUAACCGCAUACUAUAAGCAUCCACCCAGAGGAUGUCAGCAAGAUGAAGGAAAAUCCUGUUGACAUAAUAUUUCGAAAUUCUCCUCGAAUUCAGGGAUCCUGUAUGCUACUACGUGGUUGGGUAGAUAUUUCCCGUUGGUUAAGCCGAUCAUUGUCGCGGUAACAAGCAGGCUAUUGACAGGUCUCGUUCACUGUAGUUGGUAACACUGUGUCCGUAUAUAAGAGCAGAUAGUCCAAUCCACGACCUAGGGACUGACCACAGUCUUACCACUCUGUGGUCGUGUUAGCACGUUACUACGGGGGCCACAUACUAAUGGGGCAUUACCUUAACACCCUCUAUCCCGACUCUCGUUCAGUUAGUUACUCCUCGGGGAUGUCGAAGAAAGGCAAGAACGAAGGACAGACGAUAUGGGAAGAAAUCCCGAUCCCUUCCACCCUUCUCAUUUUACCCCAACUAACCUGUACCCCGUAUCUACUAUCACUCUUUCUUUUAAUCUCCAGGUUAUCGUUAAAUCAGAUUUAGUCUUGUGAAAGUAAGUAUUUUGAUUUUUAUUAACCCGGGAGUACAUCGCGUGGGAUGCCUGAGCCUUUCUGACUUAAUGCUCUCUAAAUGGAGAACAAAAUCGCGUGGCCGUGUUAAGUAAAAAUUUGAUUUCGGACAGUACCCAAGAAUCACUGGUCUUGGUAGAAUGAUAAUCUGAUCUAGGAUUCUGGAAGGAAACAAUACCAGAGACCGAUUGGUGGUGACGAUAGAUAUUCUCGAGGGAAGUGCAUGCAUUUCAAUCGACAUCUUAUCAGGUAGUCGAGCGAUGCUAGAGUACCGGUGGAUCGUGAUCAAGUGGACCUCCAUGGCGAGGACAAUACACGCCGUGCCCGAGAAGUGACAAUACACUAUCACGGCCCGUUCAAGCGUAUUGCUCUUUUGUCCGAACAGCCGCCGCCAUUCGGAGUUUAAGGGUGCUGCAGGGUGACAUCGAAUUUGACCUGGAAUCCUUGCGUAUAGAUUGAGUUUCACAAUUGUACAGGGUUGCUGAAGGAUAGCGAGUUUCUUUGCAUGAGAAAAUAAAUAUGGUAAAUGAGAUAUACGAGCUUUUUCUCGAGCUUUAUAUCCUUCUUAUCCUACAAGCCUACUUUCUUAUAACGAAAGUGUCGUAGUUAUGAGUUAGUAGAUCUAAAAGGCGAAUUCGACUUCCGCCAUAUUAAACCCGCCCCAGGCUAUCGCACAACUUUAAGGCUGAGGCCUUACACGGGGUCUCUCUACCCCUCUGGAUUCUCGUGUCAUCCCCAUAUACGUGAUACGUUUCUCGCGGGACAGCCCUAUAUGGCUAGGAUGGGUACCGGUUACUGGAGGAUUUACUGCCAGGAACAUAUUUCAAACGGGAAUCGAAGACUUUGGCCAUCGGCGAGAGUGCAUUACGCUCUUUGCAUCAUGGACGAAUUUUCUUGGCUUUCACAGACUUUGGAAUGCUCGAACGAAUCCACUAAUCAGAAGUUUGCACUUCACCCCCGUUAGCUUAGCUGGGCGCUAUACAGACUAGCACUUCAGCCACAGUGGUCCUACCCUCGUAAGAAGAAGCCGUGAACUCGGAACUGGCGCUAACUUGGCUCCACUAACGGGCAAUCAGAUCGCCUCUGUUGGGACAACAGACCAUCCCUCUCAUCGGGAUCCCGUCCUUCUACACUCGGAUGUGACCGGUUGUAUAGCUUAUUUAUCGAAGAACUUUCACGGGGGUUAAACAGCACUAAAUUUACCCAAGGGGAAGAAACUGAGAUAGACAAAGGAAGAGAGAGAGAGAGAGAGAGAGAGAGAGAGAAGAAACAACGUAGCGACUUAAUUGUUCGAGUUUGCUUCUGCCCUAUUGAUUGGUUAACGGUGAUUUGUGACGUUUUAUGUUCAAAAUAAA